CAGCCGCCGCGGGAAUACGAAGGGUGCGAGCGUUAAUCGGAAUUACUGGGCGUAAAGCGUGCGCAGGCGGUUAUAUAAGACAGAUGUGAAAUCCCCGGGCUCAACCUGGGACCUGCAUUUGUGACUGUAUAGCUAGAGUACGGUAGAGGGGGAUGGAAUUCCGCGUGUAGCAGUGAAAUGCGUAGAUAUGCGGAGGAAUACCGAUGGCGAAGGCAGCCCCCUGGGCCAAUACUGACGCUCAUGCACGAAAGCGUGGGGAGCAAACAGGAUUAGAUACUCCUGUAGUCCCUGUCUCUUAUAC
rnacentral:rRNA from 1 species